rnacentral:lncRNA from 1 species
GAAUAGAGUAGCUGCAUCUCCUGAUCACUGCUCUCCCACACGAGCUGUAUUUGCAUCCAGAGCAGCCUCCAAGAGCCACACAAACAACAUUCAGCUACUGUAUGCAUCUUUGAAAAUAGUUGUGGGCCUGAUUCCAAAGCUGGCCUCUGCAGCCAAGAUUCCUGUUAAUACCCUGUCUCAGACACUUCAGACAGAAAAUAGAUUAAUACUCAAGUAGGAAAUCAAGCCUUUCCAAUAUGUCUCUGUGGAUCUCAAGUCCAGAUGGUGACCAGAGUCUCGGUUGCAAGUAUGCUUACAAGGAUAUGAAGACAUUGCUGGAUCAGUUGCACACUGUUAGAUCAUCUUUACCAGCUGUGGCACUCUUCAAAGGAGUUCGCUGUCUCAUAAUAUCAAGAUCUUCUCUGCAUGUAUGAUGAUCAUUCUUUCAGGAGACAUCAAAAGGGGUGAAUUCUAU